GUUUUCCCCUUUUAAAAAUGCAUUCCUGCUGGUUUCAAACUAAAGAAAUGUCUUUCUAUGGUCUGUUGGCCAUUUCAGAAAUUUAGAAAUGAGAUGGCCAUUUCAUUAGAAAGAAACACCU
rnacentral:snoRNA from 1 species